CCACGUCAGAAGUAACCUGUAUUGAUCUGGCUGAAUUCAUCCACGUCAGAAGUAACCUGUAUUGAUCUGGCUGAACUCAUCCACGUCAGAAGUAACCUGUAUUGAUCUUGGAGCAGGGCGCCCGCUAAAGGAGUUACAGCUGGAGUCUCAUUGGAUAUAGAGUAGUCCCUCAGUCAGAAAAUCCCAGGAGUAGUCAGUCACCUGACCCGAAUGGGUGAAAGAGGUCAAGGAUCAGGGCUGUACAGCAGAUCUCCUAUGUGGCGGCGGGGAAGAGAGUCGAAGGGUCAAGAGGCCACAGUGCUGAAGAAGAUAUGGAGGUGGAUGCACCGCAACCAGAUGCAAAUGUUUUAAGUCAAUCGAGUGACCUGGAGACACUCGUUGUGAAGAAGGUGGAUGUUUUUAGCCAUUUAUAGCCACAGUAAUUAACUGUACAGCACAAGUGUUUAAGAAGUCCAAGAAGCUGGACAUUGUUAUAUUUGUAGCUAAAAAGGUUUUGGGGCCUCCAAGAUUUCACUGCAGAAGCACUGUAAGGACUACUGACGCCAGAAAAUGUCCCGAUUUAGAAUUUGAGAAUUGAAUAUUAAAGCAGGUUUAUUUUGUUUAGAUAAAGUUAAUUUUUUUGUUAGUUUGUAUGAUUUUUACCCCACAUCCGUAUUAUCCACAUUCAACUGUUGCGAAUGCCAUUAUUACCAGAGAAGAUGAAGAAGUUCCAGCUGAAACUGGGAUUGGAAUCUGUAGCCCUACAGCGCCCCUUAAGGGUCAUGGUGGAGAAAAGAAAUCAGCCAUUCCCUCAGAUGUGUUAUCCAUCCCUCAGAUGUGUUAUCCAUCCCUCAGAUGUGUUAUCCAUUACUCAGAUGUAUUUGAUCCAUUCCUCAGAUUUUUAAUCUAUUCCAUCAUUUGUAUUAGUUGUUCCCUAUUCUUCUUAUGUAGGCUCCUAUGAUGGCCCCUCUUGGCCAUAACAUAUUGCAGCCUAAAUGUCAUUCUGUUUAGUUAAUGACAUGUUUGAAAUGGCGACGAAAUGGCGACGAUCACUGACCAUUCAAAAGUUUAUUUACAGUUUGUGUUUCAUUCCAUCAACUCCCUCACGUGGUUGUUUUAAUGGGGAAAAUCCUCAAUGAAACUGACAUUAAAUGUGGAGAAUGAUACAUUUGCAUCUGUUGGCCAUCAAGUAGCCUAUUCAUUUUGUAUGUCAUUGUACGCUACCAUUUGAUACAAUAAAUAUGUUGAAAUGACGAUAUCAUUGCAAAUCCAUUUGUGCCACUUGUGUAGCCUACCUGGAGCUGGCAAACCAAUUUAAUAAAUAGCCUUUAUCUUCGGUGU
rnacentral:lncRNA from 1 species